rnacentral:rRNA from 1 species
GUGGGGAAUAUUGGACAAUGGGCGAAAGCCUGAUCCAGCCAUGCCGCGUGUGUGAAGAAGGUCUUCGGAUUGUAAAGCACUUUAAGUUGGGAGGAAGGGCAGUAAGUUAAUACCUUGCUGUUUUGACGUUACCGACAGAAUAAGCACCGGCUAACUUCGUGCCAGCAGCCGCGGUAAUACGAAGGGUGCAAGCGUUAAUCGGAAUUACUGGGCGUAAAGCGCGCGUAGGUGGUUUUGUAAGUUGGAGGUGAAAUCCCCGGGCUCAACCUGGGAACUGCCUCCAAAACUGCAUGACUAGAGUACGGUAGAGGGUAGUGGAAUUUCCUGUGUAGCGGUGAAAUGCGUAGAUAUAGGAAGGAACACCAGUGGCGAAGGCGACUACCUGGACUGAUACUGACACUGAGGUGCGAAAGCGUGGGGAGCAAACAGGAUUAGAAACCCCGGUAAUCC